GUAUUGCUUCGGCAACACAUAUACUAAAAUUGGAACGAUACAGAGAAGAUUAGCAUUGCCCCUGCGCAAGGGUGACACACAAAUUUGUGACGCAUUCCCCAUUUUU